AUGAAGAGUUUGAUCCUGGCUCAGGAUGAACGCUAGCGGCAGGCCUAACACAUGCAAGUCGAACGGUAACAUAGGAAAGCUUGCUUUUCUGAUGACGAGUGGCGCACGGGUGCGUAACGCGUAUGCAAUCUACCUUGUACUGGAGUAUAGCCCAGGGAAACUUGGAUUAAUCCUCCAUAGUCUAUAUUAAUGGCAUCAUUUUAUAUAGUAAAGGUUACGGUACAAGAUGAGCAUGCGUCCUAUUAGCUAGUAGGUGUGGUAACGGCACACCUAGGCAACGAUAGGUAGGGGUCCUGAGAGGGAGAUCCCCCACACUGGUACUGAGACACGGACCAGACUCCUACGGGAGGCAGCAGUGAGGAAUAUUGGACAAUGGGCGCAAGCCUGAUCCAGCCAUGCCGCGUGCAGGAAGACUGCCCUAUGGGUUGUAAACUGCUUUUAUACGGGAAGAAUAAGUGUUACGUGUAGCACGAUGACGGUACCGUAAGAAUAAGCACCGGCUAACUCCGUGCCAGCAGCCGCGGUAAUACGGAGGGUGCAAGCGUUAUCCGGAAUCAUUGGGUUUAAAGGGUCCGUAGGUGGACUAAUAAGUCAGUGGUGAAAGUCUGCAGCUUAACUGUAGAAUUGCCAUUGAUACUGUUAGUCUUGAAUUG
rnacentral:rRNA from 1 species